AGAGUUUUGAUCCUGGCUCAGGGAUGAACGCUGGCGGCGUGCCUAAUACAUGCAAGUCGAGCGAACAGAUGAGAAGCUUGCUUCUCUGAUGUUAGCGGCGGACGGGUGAGUAACAACGUGGGUAACCUACCUAUAAGACUGGGAUAACUCCGGGAAACCGGGGCUAAUACCGGAUAAUAUAUUGAACCGCAUGGUUCAAUGUUGAAAGACGGUUUCGGCUGUCACUUAUAGAUGGACCCGCGCCGUAUUAGCUAGUUGGUAAGGUAACGGCUUACCAAGGCAACGAUACGUAGCCGACCUGAGAGGGUGAUCGGCCACACUGGAACUGAGACACGGUCCAGACCCCUACGGGAGGCAGCAGUAGGGAAUCUUCCGCAAUGGGCGAAAGCCUGACGGAGCAACGCCGCGUGAGUGAUGAAGGUCUUAGGAUCGUAAAACUCUGUUGUUAGGGAAGAACAAAUUUGUUAGUAACUGAACAAGUCUUGACGGUACCUAACCAGAAAGCCACGGCUAACUACGUG
rnacentral:rRNA from 1 species